rnacentral:rRNA from 1 species
UACGGAGGGUGCAAACGUUGCUCGGAAUUAUUGGGCGUAAAGCGCACGUAGGCGGCCAAAUAAGUCGGGUGUGAAAGCCCUGGGCUCAACCCAGGAAGUGCACUCGAAACUGCUCGGCUUGAGUAUGGAAGAGGGUUGCGGAAUUCCCGGUGUAGAGGUGAAAUUCGUAGAUAUCGGGAGGAACACCAGUGGCGAAGGCGGCAACCUGGGCCAAUACUGACGCUGAGGUGCGAAAGCGUGGGGAGCAAACAGG